rnacentral:rRNA from 1 species
AUGGUAGCGAAAUUCCUUGUCGGGUAAGUUCCGACCUGCACGAAUGGCGUAAUGAUGGCCAGGCUGUCUCCACCCGAGACUCAGUGAAAUUGAACUCGCUGUGAAGAUGCAGUGUACCCGCGGCAAGACGGAAAGACCCCGUGAACCUUUACUAUAGCUUGACACUGAACAUUGAGCCUUGAUGUGUAGGAUAGGUGGGAGGCUUUGAAGCGUGGACGCCAGUCUGCGUGGAGCCAACCUUGAAAUACCACCCUUUAAUGUUUGAUGUUCUAACGUUGGCCCCUGACCGGGGUUGCGGACAGUGUCUGGUGGGUAGUUUGACUGGGGCGGUCUCCUCCCAAAGCGUAACGGAGGAGCACGAAGGUUAGCUAAUCCUGGUCGGACAUCAGGAGGUUAGUGCAAUGGCAUAAGCUAGCUUGACUGCGAGCGUGACGGCGCGAGCAGGUGCGAAAGCAGGUCAUAGUGAUCCGGUGGUUCUGAAUGGAAGGGCCAUCGCUCAACGGAUAAAAGGUACUCCGGGGAUAACAGGCUGAUACCGCCCAAGAGUUCAUAUCGACGGCGGUGUUUGGCACCUCGAUGUCGGCUCAUCACAUCCUGGGGCUGAAGUAGGUCCCAAGGGUAUGGCUGUUCGCCAUUUAAAGUGGUACGCGAGCUGGGUUUAGAACGUCGUGAGACAGUUCGGUCCCUAUCUGCCGUGGGCGCUGGAGAAUUGAGGGGGGCUGCUCCUAGUACGAGAGGACCGGAGUGGACGCAUCACUGGUGUUCGGGUUGUCAUGCCAAUGGCACUGCCCGGUAGCUAAAUGCGGAAGAGAUAAGUGCUGAAAGCAUCUAAGCACGAAACUUGCCCCGAGAUGAGUUCUCCCUGAGACUUUAAGUCUCCUGAAGGAACGUUAAAGACGAUGACGUUGAUAGGCCGGGUGUGUAAGCGCAGCGAUGCGUUGAGCUAACCGGUACUAAUGAACCGUGAGGCUUAACCUU